GCUGGGCGUGGUGGUGCACUCUUGUAGUCCCUGCUGUUUAAUAAGACUGAGGCUGGUGGAUGGUGUGAGCUCAGGAGUUUUGAGCUGCAAUAUAGCUAAAGUCAAUCAGGUGUCUGAACUAAGUCUGGCACCAGUCUGGUGAGCCUCUGAGAGCAGGGGUCCACCAAACCAUGGAAGGAGGGGCUAACCAACCCAUGUCAGAAAACCGAGGCUGGGGAAAGCUUCUGUGUCAAUCAGUAUCAGGAUCAUGCUCAUAAGCAGCUAUUGUACUUCUAGCCUAGAAAGACCUAGUCUUU
rnacentral:SRP_RNA from 1 species